rnacentral:rRNA from 1 species
UACGUAGGGUGCAAGCGUUGUCCGGAAUUAUUGGGCGUAAAGAGCUCGUAGGCGGUUUGUCGCGUCGGCUGUGAAAACUCGGGGCUCAACCCCGAGCCUGCAGUCGAUACGGGCAGACUAGAGUGCGUGUAGGGGAGACUGGAAUUCCUGGUGUAAGCGGUGAAAUGCGCAGAUAUCAGGAGGAACACCGGUGGCGAAGGCGGGUCUCUCGGGCGAGUAACUGACGCUGGAGGAGCGAAAGCGUGGGGAGCAAACAGG